AUUGAACGCUGGCGGCAGGCCUAACACAUGCAAGUCGAGCGGAUGAAGGGAGCUUGCUCCUGGAUUCAGCGGCGGACGGGUGAGUAAUGCCUAGGAAUCUGCCUGGUAGUGGGGGAUAACGUCCGGAAACGGGCGCUAAUACCGCAUACGUCCUGAGGGAGAAAGUGGGGGAUCUUCGGACCUCACGCUAUCAGAUGAGCCUAGGUCGGAUUAGCUAGUUGGUGGGGUAAAGGCCUACCAAGGCGACGAUCCGUAACUGGUCUGAGAGGAUGAUCAGUCACACUGGAACUGAGAAACGGGCCAGACCCCUACGGGAGGCAGCAGUGGGGAAUAUUGGACAAUGGGCGAAAGCCUGAGCCAGCCAUGCCGCGUGUGUGAAGAAGGUCUUCGGAUUGUAAAGCACUUUAAGUUGGGAGGAAGGGCAGUAAGUUAAUACCGUGCUGUUUGACGGUACCAACAGAAUAAGCACCGGCUAACUUCGUG
rnacentral:rRNA from 1 species